rnacentral:rRNA from 1 species
GACGAACGCUGGCGGCGUGCCUAAUACAUGCAAGUUGAGCGCUGAAGGUUGGUACUUGUACCAACUGGAUGAGCAGCGAACGGGUGAGUAACGCGUGGGGAAUCUGCCUUUGAGCGGGGGACAACAUUUGGAAACGAAUGCUAAUACCGCAUAAAAACUUUAAACACAAGUUUUAAGUUUGAAAGAUGCAAUUGCAUCACUCAAAGAUGAUCCCGCGUUGUAUUAGCUAGUUGGUGAGGUAAAGGCUCACCAAGGCGAUGAUACAUAGCCGACCUGAGAGGGUGAUCGGCCACAUUGGGACUGAGACACGGCCCAAACUCCUACGGGAGGCAGCAGUAGGGAAUCUUCGGCAAUGGACGAAAGUCUGACCGAGCAACGCCGCGUGAGUGAAGAAGGUUUUCGGAUCGUAAAACUCUGUUGGUAGAGAAGAACGUUGGUGAGAGUGGAAAGCUCAUCAAGGGGACGUAACUACCCAGA